UAUUCUGUUUCAACACUGUUCUGCUCCCCAAUAUGGCCAUCGGGAUUGUGAAAAUCUGGUUCUUCAACAAUAGUUCAGGUAACACUUGUGCUUGUUGAUCUGGAUUUUCCCCUUUAUAUUUUUUUAAUCUUGAUAUGUGAAACACUCUAUGAAUUUUGCUUGUCUCGGAUAAAUUGAUUUCAUAUGUCACCCUGUUAAUUAUUUUUACCACUUGAAAAGGCCCAAAAUAUCGUGGCGACAAUUUUGGGUGUAGACGAAGCCUCACAGUGAUCUGUCGGUAUGGUUGUAAUCUGACCAUAACCCAUUCUCCAAUAGUAAGCUCGACUUCCACUCUUUUCUUAUCUUCUACUUCUUUCAUAUAGUGUUGUGCUUUUUCCAUAUUUUCUUUAACUGAUUUUAUAAUUAAUGAUCUUCUUUGCAGAUCGUCUUGGACAGCCUCGACGACGGACGAAUUUCCCACAAAAUACGGUAAUACCGGUGCUUCCCUUCCAUAUAGGGCUUUGAAUGGCGACAUUCCGAUGGAAGUAUUGAAAGUCGAAUUAUGCCACAAUUCGGCCCAAGGUAAUGCUUCUAACCAUGUUUUAGGAUUCUCAUACGUAAUCAAACGCAAAUACAUCUCUAAUCCUCUAUUGGUGACCUCCGUUUGUGGGUGGUAAGCGGAUGACAUCUUUAAAGUGGUUCCACUGAUACGGUGGAUCUCCUUCCAAAACCUCCCCGUAAAUACUUUAUCUCGAUCCGACACGAUCGAUUGAGGUAUGCCAUGUAAUUUUACCACUGUCUCGAUGAAAGCUUGCGCGACUUCGGUUGCCAUAUAAUUAUUAGUUAAUGGAGCCAGGUGACAACACUUAGAAAGUCUAUCGACUACCACCAUUAGAACUGACUUGCCCUUCACCUUUGAUAAUCCUGUUAUGAAAUCCAUACAUAUAUUCGACCGUACCGCUUCUGGUAUUGGUAAAGGCAUUAGUAAUCCUUGAUAUUUAGAUGUUGGUAUUUUCAUUUGUUGACAUACAUGACAACAAUCCACAAAUUCCUUCACACUGUUUCGCAUAGAUUUCCAAAAGAAUACCUCCUUAAUUCUUUUCUCAGUUCUUUCGAUACCCGAAUGACCGUCAAAUUUCGAAGAAUGGAACUCCUUUAAAAUAGUAGGUAUUAAUGAAGAAUCUUCAAAGAUAAAUAAUCUGCCUUUAAAAUAAAUUUUUCUUUGAAUAAUACUGAAAUUGGCAACACCAGAUUCUCCUUCUUCGAUUUUUUUGCGCAAUUCUAGGAAUUUAUUAUUAUUUUCAUUCUCGCUCUUCAACUUCUCUGUCAACUCAUUAACAUAGGUUGAUAAGGCCAGAAUUGAACCUUCCAUGACUGGUAACUCUUCAUUUAUCACAACUCUUGACAAAGCAUCUGCCGCUUUGUUAUCGACACCAGAUUUAUAUUCAAUCGUAAAUUCAUACCCCAAUAAUUUAUAUAAGAAUACCUGCUGCUCCGGUGUUUGAAUUACUUGUGAUAGCAAGUUCUUCAAACUACGGUGGUAUGUUUUUAUAAUGAAUCUCCUUCCCAACACAUAGUGUCGCCACUUUCCUACCGCUUGAGUGAUUGUAUAAAGCUCCUUAGACAUUUUUUCUGAGAUUUUGCUACUGAAAUAAGUAAUCGGAUGGUUGUUCUGCAUUAAAACCGCUCCUAUUCCAGAUUCGCACGUGUCCGUUUCUAUAGUGAAUUCAAUUUCAAAAUUGGGAUAUGCUAGCACCGGUGCCUUUAGCAUCACCCUCUUUAAUUCCACAAAUGCCUUAGUAGCUUCCUCAGACCAAAUGAAUUUAUCCUUUCUUAGCAAAUCAGUCAAUGGUGUUGCUACUUUAGCAUACGAUUUUAUAAAUUUGCGAUAAUAACCUGUCGAACUUAGGAAACCCCGCAGAUCUUUGAUUGUCACAGGUACGGGCCAGCGUACCAUAGCAUCCAAUUUCUCUAGAUCGGGCAUCACCCCUUCAUUUGUUAUAAUAUGACCCAGAAAAUGUAGAGAUGAUUUUUCAAACUCGCAUUUAGAUAGCUUGACCGCAAACUGAUUUUUUUUUAAAAUCUCAAAUGUAACCUCCAGAUGUCUAGCAUGCUCCUCAAGACUCCUACUAUAUAUUAAAAUAUCAUCAAAGAAAACCAGAAUAAACUUCCUUAACUGAUUUUUGAAUAUAUCAUUCAUUGUUCCUUGAAAUGUCGUCGUUGCAUUAGUUAAGUCGAACGGCUUGACUAAAAAUUCAAAGUGACCAUGAUGUGUUCGAAAUGCUGUUUUCUGAAUAUCCUCUGCACUAACCAUGAUCUGAUGAUAACCAGAACGCAGAUCUAAUUUAGAAAAAAUUCUCGCACCAUUGAGUUCUCCUAAGAUCUCAUCAAUGGUCGGUAUAGGGAAGCGGUCCUUUACUGUUAUAGAAUUCAGUGUCCGAUAAUCUACACAAAGUCGCCAUCCUCCGUCUUUUUUUUUACUAGAAUAACCGGAGAAGAGAACAAGCUGUUACUAGCACGUACGAAACCUUGUGUGAGCAAAUGUUUGAUUAAUGUUUCCAUCUCGGUCUUCUGAAAUUGAGGAUAACGAUAAGGUCUAACAUUGACAGGUUUCGCACCCGGAUUAAUAUGAAUUCUAUGAUUUUGAAUUCUUUCUGGAGGUAGCUCAGUGGGUUCCUCAAAUAUCUCUCUAUAUUUGCAUAGUAAAUCUUCAACCUCCACCGAUAAUUUAUCAUUCUUUCCCUUUUCCACAGAUUUGUUGUCAUUUUGAAUUAUCUCAAAUCAAUAUAAAUAUCAUCGAGGAAUAUGCUUUGUUAAUUUUCUUAAUUCUCUUGAAGAUAAUAUUUCCUCUUCAAUAACAGGAUUGCUUUUCCAGUGUACCAACUGAUUUUGUAACAUAAAUUCUAUUGACAGGUCAGAAUAAUCUGUCAUUAUUUUACCAAUUGAUCUCAUCCAUUGAACUCUCAGAACGAUAUUUGCAUCUUCUAGCUGUAAAUUAAAUAAAUCUGUUGUAAUAGCGGUGCCUUGGAUUUUGAUUUCUACACCUCUGGAUACUGUAGAACAACCUAUUUGUUCCCCACUUCUGCAACGGUAAAUUCUUUAAUCAGUGAUACUACCAAUUUAAGUCUUUUUGCAACCUCCGUUUGGACAAAAUUAUGCGAUGAUCCUGAGUCGAUAAAACAAAAACUCUUUGUCCAGCAAUCGAACCAAUCAACCUAAUUGUCUCUGGAUCCGGUUGACCAUUCAUAGCAUACAAACUAAUCCUUGAUACUUCCGUUGAUUGUAUGUUAUCCAUGGCAUCUUUGAAUUCUUCCACAUCAUCAUAUUCUUCCUCAUUAACCUCGAUGAGCAUAUCUCCUGAUGGUACCCCCAAGUUACCAGCCCAGGCCCGCGAAGAAGCCUAAGCCCAGCAAGACGAAUAGAGGAAAGCCCAAGUCAUUCCGAGGGCGUUAACCUGUUCGAAUGGUCCGGACGGCCCCAUCAGCCCUACGAACAUUUGGCCGACCGACUGGAAAGACCCAUUAGCUCGAGCAGUUAACAUCCCAAAGAAGGCGUCCCAAGUGUAUCGGAUCCAUCGUAUCGGUUCCUAAUCCGAAAGCAUGGGACCCGGAACCCGUUAGGAAGUUGUAUAAAUACCCCUAGGGGUGAAGUGUAAAAGGGGGGAUUGUACUUGUAAUAACAUUUGAGACAUACGUGUAAUAUACUUGAGAUCAUACUAGGGUAGAGAGGAGAUCGGCCACCUUUCUAAAGGGACACGAUCAUCUCCCUCGGUAGAUAAUCUGAAUAGACGUCAUUUACACUUAUGGCCACGAACCCAUUUUUCAUCGCAAUUGUAGCAAAGGUUCUUCUCUCUUCGAGCUUUCAUUUCUUCCGGUGUUAGUCUUGUUCUGAUCAAUGGAUUUUUGUUCGUUUCGCUAUCGACGAUACGCUUAUGCGGAGGUACAUAAUUGCUUCUUUGUUUUUCCCAUAAUGUAAUCUGUUUGUUGCCAUGUUGAAUUUCUUCCUCACCUUCACAAACAGUUGCUAAAGCGAAAGCUUCUGAAAUGCCUUCCGGUCUUGCUUUCACCAAUUCCUUCCGAAUUUCGGGUUUCAAUCCAGUGAUAUACAUCUGCCUUUUUGUCUCCUCCGAAACGCCUCUUACUUUAGUCGCUAGAGCUUCGAAUUUACUUUGAUAUUCCCUAACUGAACUUGUCUGCACCAGCCUGCCAAGACGUCCAGUUGGUAAAUCAUACGGGCUGCUCCCGAACCGCCUUUGAAUAUCUUCCAAAAACUCUGCCCAUGAAUUCAGUUUACCUUCAUCCUCCAUCUAGACCAUCCAAUCUACAGCUUCGUCCUCCAUAUUCAUUGUUACUUGCACUAUUCUUUCCUCAUCAGGUAUCCCAUGAUAACGGAAAUAUCUUUUUACUUGAUAAAUCCAGCGUUCCACAUUUUUCCCAUUGAACUUUGGCAUUUUUGUGUGAAUGUUUUUUUUUGUUGAUUAUCGCGACCGAAACAGUUGGACCCAAUCUGAAUAUCUGAAGAUGAUGAAGCACCAUCAUUAAUUAUUUUUGUUAAAUCUAGAACGGUAGCCCCAAUCUUUGUCAUCAUCUCAUUCAGCCUUGCAAAAGAUUUUUUGUUUUCUUCAGCAUCAAAUUCGAAUUUCUUCCUCAAUGUUGCCACUAUUUCUUCUGGCGAUGUCAUUCUGUUAACAAAAUUUCCGAUCUCAAUAAAAAUUUAAUCGAAAGCAAUAAGGAUGAGAUUACGUCCCUUAUCUAGAUCUAGGUCUAGAGCUAGAUCAACUCUUGGAAGAUUUUUGAAAUAAUUUAAGUCGUUCUCGACCGUGUCCUAAUUAAUCCUUUCCUUUGAUUUUUUUUUCCUGAGAUCCGAGAAUAGUACAAAUUAAUAUAAGAAUAACUGAAAAAUUGAGUUUAGAUACGUCUCUGCUGUAGAUCUAGUAUAGAUCUAGAUCAAAUCUUGGAGAGUUUUUUUUUUGAAUGAAUUAACGUCGUUCCCGACGAUCUUCUUUCAAAGCAGUCCGAUUGAAAACACCAAAUGUUAAGGCAGCAACCCCCCAAAAACGAGCUUGCUAUAGUAACCAGAAAUUUAGUCACAGAGGAGAAGAGAAUUUGCUGCAGGACCGUGUCCUAAGCUUCAUAAGUCAUGCUUAUUGAGGAAAAUAAAAAUGAUACCCUAAAAUUAAGGUUUACAAAGUUUAAAUAGUCUUGGCCAACGGGCUGGGCCUAUAAAAUAAUAACACUACUUUCUAUUUUAAAAUAACAUAAUCUUUAAAUUUAAUAGGUUGAACAUUUACCCUUUUACCCCUACCAAUGUUUUCAGAUGUACUUUCUUUGUUUGACUCCAACACUUCAUCUAACUUUUGCAAGUUCUGUUCUUCCUCUUCUCCAUCAGCUUCCAUCGAUACCUCCUCUCAGAUCUGCUAUUCCUCUCCAGGUAUGUCCAUGGUUGCUUCUUCCUUUCUUCUAUCUUCAUUAUUCAGUCUCUCUAGCAUAUCAUGUAAUACUACUUCCCUUUGACAUGUGUAUUUAUCAUAACUUUACCAAAAAAUAAUCUAAGAUGGCCUUCUGCUUAUGGAGAUUGAGAUGGAGAAAGCUAAAAACAUUCGACAAAUUGAGAAAUUAGGGGGUAGUGGUGCCAGCAAAGUGUGUCUUAUGCGACGCAACUGAGGAAACGACAACCCACCUAUUUUUCAAUUGCGACUUCAGCUAGACUCUUUGAAAUAAAUUUACACGAUCGACAGACUAUGCUCUAUAGAAGACUAUGGGUAUUACAGCGAUAAAGCAAGGAGACAUAAGGGUGAGUGAUAUCAUAGAAAGGAUAUCCAAAUUCAAGAGGUCAGAACCAUGCUGGGUUUACAUUGAAAUACACUUGCAAUAUAUAUAUAUGACAUCUUUGGAAGGAGAGGAAUCUACGAUAUAAGGAAGGACUCUCUCGUCCGGUUAAAGUCAUCGCAAGGAAAUUUAUACGAGAUUUGACUAUCAUCUAUGACCACCGCCUAUAUAAAAAAAUCGCACAAGUUAAGUUUGGAAGAUACAGCUAUCAGAAAAUGGGAGGAAAUCUCGUUAUUGGUUACUGA
rnacentral:lncRNA from 1 species